rnacentral:lncRNA from 1 species
GUAACUAUCAAUACACAUACAAUACAGAAACAUCUCAAAGUACCUUAUUUAUUUUUGUUUUACUAACAGGCUGACAUUCCUAAACAGAUGGCUGAAGAACAAACCCGGGCUCCAGGCUUUAGUGCUGAGUUUUACUGUAUGGACCCUGGGAUGUUUCUGAGAUGGUUUCUUUGAGAAAUGAGGGAAGUCCCAGGGGUGGCUCUGCUGUGAGCAAUUCUGCUGGCUGUCCUCCUUCCUGUGCAGCCACACCCAUGCAGCCAAAGGAUCAGCCAGGAGUAUUUGUCAGAGAGCUUCAGUUUUCUGCUUAUGUAUCUCCAUGGUGUCCUGAGGACUUCUUAAAAGAACAAGAUCUGACUAACUUGUCCAGAGUCAUACAAGAAACUGGCGGCAGCACAGAGGAUUGAUGAUUUGUUGGCACAGCAGGCCAAAAACCCACUUGGGCAAGGUUCAAACAAACAUCCAGGCCAGCAGCUUCAAGUGCUCUCAUUCACAAGCGAUCAGUCAGAAAUCUCUCUGCUGAGUUUGGUGGCACCAACAUCAAAGGUACAGCACUUUUCAUUGCAUGACCACACUGACGUCACCACUGCAAAGCCUGAUGGAGGAUGGAAUGAGCAGAUCCUGCCAGUUUUCACUGCCUGGAUUUGGCAGCAC